UACAGAGGGUGCGAGCGUUAAUCGGAAUUACUGGGCGUAAAGCGUGCGUAGACGGUCGCGUAAGUCAGAUGUGAAAGCCCCGGGCUCAACCUGGGAAUUGCAUUUGAGACUGCUCUGCUCGGGUGCGGAAGAGGGAAGCGGAAUUUCCGGUGUAGCGGUGAAAUGCGUAGAUAUCGGAAGGAACACCAGUGGCGAAGGCGGGUCUCUGGGCAGUAACUGACGCUGAGGAACGAAAGCGUGGGUAGCGAACAGG
rnacentral:rRNA from 1 species